rnacentral:antisense_RNA from 1 species
CUUCAACGACCCCAGCCAGAGCGGCUGUUCGGCCGGACGGCCCUGCCCGUACGUGGCCAGCACCGCCUGCGCCUC